GUAGGGUGCAGGCGUUAAUCGGAAUUACUGGGCGUAAAGCGUGCGCAGGCGGUUUGCUAAGAGAGAUGUGAAAUCCCCGGGCUUAACCUGGGAACUGCGUUUCUAACUGGCAAGCUCGAGUGUGGCAGAGGGGGGUGGAAUUCCACGUGUAGCAGUGAAAUGCGUAGAGAUGUGGAGGAACACCGAUGGCGAAGGCAGCCCCCUGGGCUAACACUGACGCUCAUGCACGAAAGCGUGGGGAGCAAACAGGAUUAGAUACCCUGGUAGUCCACGCCCUAAACUAUGUCAACUGGUUGUCGGGGAAGCAAUUCCUUGGUAACGAAGCUAACGCGUGAAGUUGACCGCCUGGGGAGUACGGCCGCAAGGUUAAA
rnacentral:rRNA from 1 species